rnacentral:rRNA from 1 species
CCUACGGGAGGCAGCAGUGGGGAAUAUUGGGCAAUGGGCGCAAGCCUGACCCAGCAACGCCGCGUGAAGGAAGAAGGCUUUCGGGUUGUAAACUUCUUUUCUGAGGGACGAAGAAAGUGACGGUACCUCAGGAAUAAGCCACGGCUAACUACGUGCCAGCAGCCGCGGUAAUACGUAGGUGGCAAGCUUUAUCCGGAGUUAGUGGGUGUAAAGGGCGUGUAGGCGGGAAAGCAAGUCAGAUGUGAAAACGCAGGGCUCAACCCUGAGCCUGCAUGUGAAACUGUUUUUCUUGAGUGCUGGAGAGGCAAUCGGAAUUCCGUGUGUAGCGGUGAAAUGCGUAGAUAUACGGAGGAACACCAGUGGCGAAGGCGGAUUGCUGGACAGUAACUGACGCUGAUGCGCGAAAGCGUGGGGAGCAAACAGGAUUAGAUACCCCAGUAGUC